UUGUACCUCCAAAUUAUUGGGGAAGUCUCUCUUUGUAUGUCUGCUAAAUAUUUUAGUGGAAGUUGGUGUCGGAUUUGUGGACGUAGCCUAAACGUUUUAGGUGAACCACGUUAAAUAUUGUAUCAUUUAUUUUUGGUUUCGUUGAUCAUUUAUUUUAUUCCGCUGUGCAGUAUUGUUUAGUGCCACCGGGUCCUAACAUGCAGUGAGUGCUUCCUAUGUGUGAAGUAAUCUGAGAGCAUUUGUCAUUUGUUUUUGCACUGCCAAGUUACAUCCCAACUGUGGCAGCUCUUCAUGAACAUUGUUGGUCUGCAGUGUAUCAUGUCUAGAUCAACAACAUAGGUGGUGGAACACGAUACUGGUGAUAAUAGGUGAAAUCUAGGUGAUUUAGCUAUUGUUUAUGCUUCCGCUUGAUUUUAUUCCAAUGACAUAUUAUGGUUAAUUGAUGAAAAAUAGGCUCUAAUUGUGAUAUGUAUACAUUGCAGAAUGAGGAGCCUAUAUGCUGCUUUCAAGAGGAUAUUGGAAUGAUUUAUGAGCGAGAACAACCCCUCGGAGUCGAGUGUGCGCAAGGACGAGACGAAAAAUGGACGAAAUCAAGCGUCAGACGCGCGAAGAAACGCGCGAAGUCGCGCAGUAGUUCGCGCAUAAGAAGAGCUGAGGCAGAAUCACGCGCGAAGAAACGCGCGAAGUUGUGCGCGUCCGAUCCAAAAAAGUUAUUUAGGGGUAAAAUUGGAAAUCUGGGGAAAACCCCACUUAACCUAUAUAAAGUCAAGCUCGCCCAAGGUUAAAGGAUGGAGGGUUUUCAUAGUUUAGUGGAAGAAAUAGAGAGUCAAGAGGCAAGUAGGACGUUUUUGAGAGGAAAACACGAGCAUAGAGCCGCCGUGGAGGCCGGAAUUCAUCGGGUUUCAUCUUUCUUCCUCCAAACUUAGUAAUUUUUAUGUUUCUUUGUAUGAGUUGUUGUUUUGCUACCAUGUCUAUGUGGAGCUAAACUUCACGUUCUAGGGUUGUGGUUCUUUCAUGACUAUUGUUAUUCGGAUAUUGAGUUUGAUUUCUUAGUUUAUAAUAUUGGUUUAUUUAUU
rnacentral:lncRNA from 1 species